UACGUAGGUGGCAAGUGUUGUCCGGAUUUACUGGGUGUAAAGGGAGCGCAGACGGAACUGCAAGUCUGAUGUGAAAGCCCGGGGCUCAACCGCGGGACUGCAUUGGAAACUGUAGAUCUGGAGUGCCGGAGGGGCAAGCGGAAUUCCUGGUGUAGCGGUGAAAUGCGUAGAUAUCAGGAGGAACACCGGCGGCGAAGGCGGCUUGCUGGACGGCAACUGACGUUGAGGCUCGAAAGCGUGGGGAGCAAACAGGAUUAGAUACCCU
rnacentral:rRNA from 1 species